CCUUAGACGUCCGGGGCCGCACGCGCGCUACACUGAAGUGAUCAGCGUGCUUUCUCUAAUCCCCUGCUCUGCCAAGAGUGGGAAACCCAAUGAACCUACUUCGUGAUUGGGAUAAAGGAUUGUAAUUAUUCCUUUUGAACGAGGAAUUCCCAGUAAGCGCGAGUCAUCAGCUCGCGUUGAUUACGUCCCUGCCCUUUGUACACACCGCCCGUCGCUACUACCGAUUGAAUGAUUUAGUGAGGUCUUCGGACUGGCCGGCGCAGCUGCUCUCACGGGUAGCCGCGCUGUGUUUGGAAAGAUGCCCAAACUUGAUCAUUUAGAGGAAGUAAAAGUCGUAACAAGGUU
rnacentral:rRNA from 1 species